GACGUAGGGUCCGAGCGUUGUCCGGAUUUACUGGGCGUAAAGAGCGCGUAGGCGGUCCGUUAAGUGAGAAGUGAAAGCUCCGGGCUCAACCCGGAAAUUGCUUUUCAUACUGGCGGACUCGAGGGUGGCAGAGGCUUGUGGAAUUCCUGGUGUAGCGGUGAAAUGCGUAGAUAUCAGGAGGAACACCCAUGGCGAAGGCAGCAAGCUGGGCCACAUCUGACGCUGAGGCGCGAAAGCGUGGGUAGCAAACAGG
rnacentral:rRNA from 1 species